rnacentral:rRNA from 1 species
UACGAAGGGGGCUAGCGUUGCUCGGAUUUACUGGGCGUAAAGGGCGCGUAGGCGGAUGUUUAAGUCGGGGGUGAAAGCCCAGGGCUCAACCCUGGAACUGCCUUCGAUACUGGACAUCUUGAGUACGGGAGAGGUGAGUGGAACUCCGAGUGUAGAGGUGAAAUUCGUAGAUAUUCGGAAGAACACCAAUGGCGAAGGCGACUCACUGGCCCGUUACUGACGCUGAGGCGCGAAAGCGUGGGGAGCAAACAGG